UACGAAGGGGGCUAGCGUUGCUCGGAAUCACUGGGCGUAAAGCGCACGUAGGCGGCUUUUUAAGUCAGGGGUGAAAUCCUGGAGCUCAACUCCAGAACUGCCUUUGAUACUGGGAAGCUUGAGUCCGGGAGAGGUGAGUGGAACUCCGAGUGUAGAGGUGAAAUUCGUAGAUAUUCGGAAGAACACCAGUGGCGAAGGCGGCUCACUGGCCCGGUACUGACGCUGAGGUGCGAAAGCAUGGGGAGCGAACAGG
rnacentral:rRNA from 1 species